rnacentral:rRNA from 1 species
GAUAAACGCUGGCGGUGUGCUUUAUGCAUGCAAGUCGAACGGUCUUGAUUUAUCAAGACAGUGGCAAACGGGUGAGUAAUACGUAAGUAACCUACCCUCAAGUAGGGAAUAGCUCUGAGAAAUCGGAGAUAAUGCCGUAUGUGGUGGUGGAGGUAAUGCUUCAUCACUAAAGCUUUCGGGCGCUUGAGGAGGGGCUUGUGUCCGAUUAGCUAGUUGGUAGAGUAACGGUUUACCAAGGCUAAGAUCGGUAGCUGAUCUGAGAGGAUGUUCAGCCACACUGGGACUGAGAACGGCCCAGACUCCUACGGGUGGCAG